rnacentral:sRNA from 1 species
GGAGCAGCAACGAUGUUACGCAGCAGGGCAGUCGCCCUAAAACAAAGUUAGGCAUACCAGAUAGCACG